UGCGUUGGCGGACUAAUAAGUCAGUGGUGAAAUCUCUCGGCUCAACCGGGAAACUGCCAUUGAUACUGUUAGUCUUGAGUUCGGUUGAGGUAGGCGGAAUGUGUAAUGUAGCGGUGAAAUGCUUAGAUAUUACACAGAACACCAAUUGCGUAGGCAGCUUACUAGACCGACACUGACGCUGAGGCACGAAAGCGUGGGUAGCGAACAGGAUUAGAUACCCUGGUAGUCC
rnacentral:rRNA from 1 species